GGUCCUGCCUGCCCAGUGGAACCACUUUUAAACGGCCGCGGUAUUCUAACCGUGCAAAGGUAGCGUAAUCAUUUGUCUUUUAAAUAAAGACUUGUAUGAACGGCUAAAUGAGGAUAGCCCUGUCUCUUUUAACCAGCCAGUGAAACUGAUCUUCAAGUACAAAAGCUUGAAUACAGACAUAAGACGAGAAGACCCUGUGGAGCUUAAAACCAACACUAUAACACACCCAAAUAGCAUCGGUUUUAAGUUGGGGCGACUUCGGAAUAAAACAAAACUUCCGAGCACAGAGCCAACCACUCUUACCAAGACCAACACGUCAAAGUACAAACCUCCGACCCAGUACCACUGAACAACGAACCAAGUUACCCCAGGGAUAACAGCGCCAUCUUCUUCAAGAGUCCCUAUCGACAAGAAGGUUUACGACCUCGAUGUUGGAUCAGGACACCCAAAUGGUGCAGCAGCUAUUAAAGGUUCGUUUGUUCAACGAUU
rnacentral:rRNA from 1 species